rnacentral:tRNA from 1 species
CAGAGUGUGGCGCAGCUUGGUAGCGCGCCUGUUUUGGGAACAGGAUGUCGCGGGUUCAAAUCCUGCCACUCUGA